GUUGCAGGUACGUAUUAUUUAUUAUUUGUUAAUAAUAUGUAAUAGGUACAUAACAAUAUUAUUUCGCAUGGAUGUUUUCUUUUAAAUGCUCAGAUUCUGAUUACAGCUAUAAUAAUAUUAUAAUUGUCGAAUGUUUGUGAUUUUUAUCAAGAUCAUACACAUUUCAACUUAAAAAAGUUAUAAAACAAAUUAUAGAAUAAUAUAGAAAAAUGUAGAUGUAAUUUGGGACUUUGUCAUAUUUAGAUGUUUAUUGGAUUGAUUACAGUAACUGUCAAGGCUGGGCAUUAACGAGUCAAAAAGUUAAAUUUAAGUUAUUUUUAACUAAUUUAGGUACAUAACGAGUUACAUUUUUUUUAGAAGUAGGUACCUAAUUUAUAACUUGACGAGUUAACUUUUUAUGCAGUAAAUCAAAAAUUAAUUAAUUGUAUUGUCACGUUUAGUAAUUUGUUUUCCUGAAACUACUGAUUCAAAAUAUAUUCCAUAAUGUAAUAAUUGAUUUUAUAUGAAUAAAAAAAUAAUAAUAUUAUGUUAUCGCAAAUAUCAAAUAUAUAGGUAAUAAAGGUAAUAAAGAUACUAUUAUUACAUUACUAUGUUAGUUUUAUAAAAAGGUAUAAUAAGUAAUUUAAUAAUAUGAAAAACGUAAGUAAUUUUUAAUUAAGUUAAGUUCCUUUUAAUUUAUAAUUACCUUGUGAAACUUACAAGUUAAAAAACAAAGGUAUCUUUUAACUUUGAACUUAGCUUUCAUUUUUCUUUACUAACUCAACUUAACGAGUUAAAAAAAUUAUUUGACUUGCCCGGCCUUGGUGACUGUAAAUAUUUCCAUUGCUUCGAAAUCAAAUCGUAUUGUUCAAUCAAAAACAAAAGUAGCCAAAUUAUAAAAAUAGUUUCCCGGUGAUUAUUUUUAAACCAUAAUAUUUCAUAAUAAACCAUAAAUUAUAUUAUUAACAAUAAGUUAUAAAAUUAUAAUAAUUCAUUUUUCAUGCAGAUUUAAGUAAAUAUUAUUAUGUUUGACUAACUAAGAGUUUUACUAUUUUAACUGUGUGAAAUUUAAAAUUUGCAUUAACAAAAUGCAUGGAUUGGAACCAAAAUGUGCUUUAUCGAAUUUCUUUUCAAUCCACUUUUUAUAGUACGUAUAUUGUAAUGGUAAAUACACGUACUAAAACGGGCUUUCUCGUAACUACUAAGAAACAAAAAACACUUGGACGAACCAAUCGAUAACAUAGACUCUGGAGAUCAGCGAGUGUGACACAAAAGCAAGGCAAAACAUAACGCACGAAUGGUAAAAACCUACUAACGUCGACAUCCAAUGGAAUAUAAAAUCAGUUGCGAUUCACAGAAGAGUGUAGUAAGAGUGUCAAACUAUGUGAAAUACUUAGGAUUUACACUAGACUGAUUACUCAACAUGUGACUACAUAUCAUUUCAACAUCAACCUACAUUGUAUCCAGUGCUUUACCACCAAUGUACAAUUUCAUUAUUUGUUGAAAUUUCAAAAAUUAUGAUUUCCGUCAUAUCUACUACUUAUUCUUCAAUAUGCUGUUUCAGCCUGGGGGUCCCUUAUGUCCCCAAGCAAUUAAAUGAAAAUCUAGGAUUACGGACAAGAACAUAGAAGCUAAUAAAGGUAAAAUAUAAGACAAAAGGUUUCUUAUUCAGACGAGACACUUUUCUUCAUAAACUACUAUGCAGGGCAUAAUUUAAAGAAGUAUAAACAUUUAAAUUUUUAAUUAUUCUUUAAUUAGUUACAAAAUUAUAAUUAAUGAAUACAGUUAUCAAGUUUGUUUUUAAUAAAUAUUUAUAUAGAAUCAUUUUAGUUAUCAAUACUAUUGUUACAUCCCCAAAGUUCUUUCUAUGUAUUGUUAAAUAAACUAGAGAUUUGACCAUUUGACAAUCAUUAAAAUAGUUUACAAAAAGAGAUAAUAUAGUAAGAAGUUUCCUAAAGAAUUUUAUAUUUUUAAAUAGCAUAUUUUGGUUCCAAAUCUAUGAAAUGCUUUAUACUCUGAUGACUUAAAUGACCAAGUGCUAAUAUAUCAUACUAUAAUAUAUUUUACUAUAUAAGUAAACAUAAUUGAUCUUGUAUCGGCUUAUGAUUAUUGACGAUUGCAUUUUAAAUAAGCCAAUAUUAUAACAAUUAUGUUUAUAUGAUAGUAUUUGUUUCUUCCUAGGCCUUCGAUUUUAUAUUUUUAGUUACCUAAACAAUAAGGAUAUUACUUAAUAUUUUAUAAUUUAUUUUCCAGGUUGGAGUAUGAAACAUUUUUUGAGUUUUUAUUUUUCAUUGAUCUUUUUAAUUUAAAAUUGUUUUUAAUCAAUUGGAAAUCAUAAAAAUACAAUUUUCAAAUAUAUAAUACACUUUAGAGUUUAGACGUUAUAAAAUCUAUAAAUUAAGGUCGAGUGGGACUUUUCACAAAUGUAUAGUAAUGAGGUCAGCUAUAUUUUGUGUAGCUAUAAUUAUAUUAUUUUCUUGAUUUGCUCAUUGUCCUCAACUAAAAUGUUUGUAAAUUUAUUGAAAACUUUUCAAAUAAAUCAUUAGAUUAUUGCUACUUUAAUCAUAACAUCUAAUAAUGUUUUAUAAUUAUACUUAAAAAUGACUACUGGGUGUUUUAUUUCUAGAAGUCGGUAGUAAGUUGUUUUUAUAUUAAUUUAUUAUAGUUUACAUUUAGAUUAAUUUUACAUGUGUUUAUACUGUUUAUAGUUAAGAAUUCCAGUAUUUCUACCAUAUUAAAUAUAAUUCUAAUAGUUAAUGCUAAUUUUUAUGGAUCAACAUUCAAAACUUAGGAUUUCUAAGAAAAAACUGUAUGCAAUUGAUUAUAAAAUUUCAAAAUUUGUUUGUAAUUUUUAGUUAAAUCUAUGAUCUUAUAUCAAAACAAUAUUACGAACAUUUUAUAAUAAAUAAUAAUUAAUCACUACUGUUUUUAUUUUAUUCAAGCUAUCCUACGUACGUAAUAAUUUUUAUCAUAAUACGAUUGUCUUAUGGUCUUUAUUCUUAUUAAGUUUUCAAUUAAAAAAUAUAUUAUGGAUUUUCUAACGAUAUUUUGUCUAUUUAUGAACUGUAAACUAAACUAUAACUUUCCAAUUUAUUGCACAAAUAAUAUUAUAAUAUUAAAUUUGAAUAUCGCUAUAAAGUAAUUAUCUACCAAACUGAUGGGCUUACUACGCUGUAGAAUACAUAUUUUUUAAAAUUAAAUUUGUAACUAUAAAUUGUUUCAUAAUCAGUUUUUCGGUAAUGUGAUUCAACGUUUGCGCAUUGUUGGUCACCUAGGUAAAGCAUUUGGAGGUCAUUUACGCAUUGCGUGUUUAUAAAAUCAGUAAAUUUUAGAUAUAAGCUUAUUUUACACUACCUUAUGUAGUGAACAGUUAGCAGACUUCCCCGGGUUCAUUUCUUCGUAAUGGGUAUUAUAUCACAUUUAUUUAAAGCGUUCUUAUAUAGGCUAUGUUUUAACUUUUAACAUGGUUUCCAAAUUCUUUUUUCGGUAUUUAUAUUACAAAAUAAUAUCUAUUAUUUGUGGUUUCCGGUCUAUAUCAUCCUCAUGGAUAUUUCGUUGGAUAGUGGAAAUAUAAUAUUAAUCACUACCUAUGUAUUUUUUGUUUUGUUUUUUUUUUGUCAAUUACUGCAAUUAUUUAUGAAUAAUAUUAUAUUAAAAUAAAAUAAAAUAAAUGCAUGAAAACGCUUAACUUCCAUGGCGGGUCCUUGUGGAAUUCUUUGUAAUAAUAUAUUUUGUAGAAAAACAAUGAUUAGUUCAUCCGUUAAGUUCUUAGAAUGUGAAUUUUAAGGUUUAAUAUUAUUCAUUAUUUUAUUUCUAGAAAAAAAACAUGGAUUUGGAGUGAAAAUGGUACAAUCAUUUAUAUCAUUUGUACGAAUCGCCUAUGUAUUGAGGCAGAGAUUUGGAAAUGGAAAUAAUCCAGGCCUACAGCGUCCGGUUGAUUCCUACUGUAAUUCAGAUAAGAACACUACGUUUUUAAAAAAUGUGAAGUAACGUUUAUAUGUUUUACUUAAAUAUAUUUUGAUAAAUAUAAAUUAAAUUAUAUAAUACAAAAUUAUAUUAAGUCCAUAUGGACUUUAUUCUAAUUAUAAAUACAUUCCAACUACUGUAUUAAUUCGUACUAAAAUAAAAGCAAUAAUUUUGGCAAUAAAUAAUUAAACCUACAGGUACUGUAUAUUAUACUGUGUUGUAUCGUUUUUUCGUAUGAUUUAAUUCAAAUUUAACUUAUUCUUUAUCUAUUAGAGAGUACAAUUACUUGAUCAAAGACGAGAUACACUAAACAAUCGACGCUUUAGGGUACAGUGUACAGAAAAACGGUUACCUAGGUACCAUUUAAUGCCAAAGGAAAAACUUCUACUUAGAAUAUGUUAUACAAGAACUGCAUAGAUUAUUAACAUUAUUAUUGGGUUGUUUGUAUUAUGUAUAAACUUCAAGUCUAAAAUUGUAUCCAAUCAUAAUAAUAACUAUUUUACUUACCAGAUCAUAGGCUCAGAUGGUUUCUCAAUGAGUAAUCUUAUAUUACAUUUUCAAAUCUUAGAUUUAAAAAGAAAAAUUUUUUAUGAAUUCUCAACUCAAAAUAGUUUUCUAAUUUUCGUGAUUUUUCCGUAUUUUGUCAAAAUUUGAACUUUAAAUGCUUAUAAAUAAAAACUAUGACUAAGGAUUUUUAAUUUUUUCCAUCUGCCUUUGAAACACUAAAUAAAAAAAAAAGGAAAUUGACAAUGUCCAUAAACAGCUCAAAAUAAGUCAAAAUAUUUGGAAAUUGUUAUGGUGUAUAGGAAAUGCAAUUAUAAACAUUCAGUCAAAAUGUCAUGUACCCUUUAGAGUUACACCAAAAACCUUAUUUUCUCAAAAACAGAUUUUGCGUAAAAAUUCCCGUUUUUCCUUAAUUUUUCUUUUGUUUUUCACGUCGCUUUUGAAAACUACUGGGAAAUUUAUACUUUUGACCCCCCAAAGUACCAACUAGAUUCACUUUCCUAUCAGAAAAGUUAAUGUUGAAGAAAAUCCAAGCACUUUUACUGUCCUAAAAGGUGAUGACAAACACAAAAAUAAAAAAAAAUUCAAUACAUUCAUCGUUCCACUCAGAAUCUAAAACCGAGAUAAGUGCCUUAAAUUACAUAUUAUUUAUUUUUUAAAUUAAAACCAUAUUACCAAUUUAAAUUUAAAUUUAAAAACUUAGAUGCCUUGUUUAGAAUUGUUAUUGCUCUGUCGUGUAGUGUCGAGUCUCGAUUGUACCUCGUCAUAGAGAAGGUCACUGAUUUUUUUCUGAAAUGUCGAUAAAAAAAUGUUAUGCCACCCAAAAAAUCUAGAAAAUGUAAUACAAAGAACUAUUAUUGAAAUUUAAAAACGUGUUUGAACUUAGAAGUUCAUAUUUUAAUAUAUGCGUCAAAGUAACCUAUAUGACUCAAUGGCGAGGCCAACGCGAUACCCACUAUACAGCAGAGCGGUUAUACUUACUUUUUUUUUAAAUUAAUGAAACUUUAGAGGUGAUGCUGUGGACAGUGAUCUUGAAGAAUCUUCACUGCAAAUUAGAUUCAACAAUGUUGAUCAAAAUUCGAGUAAUGUCGAAGAGCCAACGGGAAGUAAUUUAGUUGACACACCAUUGACACCAGAGCAGUCAUUUUCUCAAUUAGAGAAUACACCUUGCCUUGAUGAAACGUUCUGGCCUUUAUCAGAUGACACACGCACUCCAUUUCACACACAUACGUUAUGUACGGAAACCAAUGAUAAUAAUGCCAAUCUUGAUUUGAAAGGGAACAUUUGGGAAAAAGUUUAUCAAUAACUGUUAUAAGAUAAGAUCGAACACAGUAAAAAGACGGCAGUUAUAUCCAGAAACACGAAAAGUACCAAAAAUGAAG